AGUGGCGGAAUCAAACGGUAGGCGGCCGCCUAGGACCUCUCCGGUGUGGGUGGCCCCGAAGAACGGAAAUGUGUACGAAUGUUGGUAGCAGAAGAAAAUUUUUUUAUAGCCACAAGACACUCGUCAACACGGUAAAUUUUAAAUGGUAAAGGACCUCAUUUUCUAUCUAAUUUAUUGCCACCUGAUUGAACCAAUGCCUCUCUAACGCGUUUUAAUACUAAUCACAAUUACAUUUUCCAUACUAUAAAUGUAAGAACGGAUUUGAUCGAGAAGAGCGAAGAGUUAUUUUUGAAUAUCCUCCCAAUGAGGAACGAUCUUCGAAGAGCGUGCGAAAGAACGAGAGAAGUUGACAGCCACCCGCUUCGCCAAUUAUAGUUGUGUAGGUGCGUCGUGACAACGAGGCAGAAGAGAUGAUGGUAAUGAGAUAAAGUGAUUAGUAGCGAUCGGACAGCAGUACGUCACAGUCAUAAAAAGAAGCUUUCGGUAAUGUGUGGCAAGCGGAGCACGUGCUUUGUGAAUAGAACAUUGUAUAACAAUUGUUUUUGGAUGUAAAAAGGUAUAUACUUUACUUUAUAUGGUUAAUACAACAAUUUGUGCGUUAAUGUGGUGUUAAACAAAGCAGAUUUGUUUGGCACGUGUAAAAAAUGUCGCCGGCGUUGGCUUGGCUUUGUGUCCGCAUAUACGCUCGCGUGAUGCUUGUUAGGAAGUGUAAGUGUAAGUGAAAGAAGAAUGCCACUGAGUGAGUACAGCGGCCCAACACAGUAUUGUCUUCUCAAUUUUCUCAAUUUUAAUCGCUUAUUGAUCGAAUCAAUCGUAGAACAUUGUACAAAAACUAUAAAAAAUGGUUAAGCAAGUCAUAAAUGCAAUUGGUAGCUGAAGAAAGGUCGACGCACACGGAACUAUGGAACAUUCUAACGCGUGCUAAGUGCGAUCGUGUUUAAGCGAUAGGAGAAUUUCGCCAUUUUGCAUCUUGAACACCUGCGCAGACAAUGUACGUUCUUCAUGUGGUCUUACUCCAACGUUGAAGUUAUCAUUGUGGUAUCGUGCAGUUUGCUGUACGCUAACGCCGUAAUGAGUACGUGUGUGAGUGUAAGGACAUUUUAAGUGCGUGUACUAUGGGUGAACUAAGCUUGCAAAUUAUUUGCAUUUGUGUUGUGCAGCGUAGUUUGCCACCGUGUUUUCGUGCGGUGUUUGUUUUAUCUUCGUAACCUCCUUGCUAGUUAAUAAAAUUUGAAAUUAAUAAAUAAAAAAAGAAAUUUGAAAAAGGUAGUGCAAAGCUGCUCCCAUCCUUUGUGUGAAGAUAAAGAAAAUGCAAGUGUUGGUUGUUUUUUUUUGUGAAAAAGUGUCUUUUGUGAAGAUGUAUAUUUGAGCUGAUUUCUUAUUGUGUUAAUUCGUGUAUCGAAAAAUGUGGCUAUUUUAUUCAAGUGAAGUGUUUUCAAUGUUCUAAAGUGCAUUGAGGUGCGUAUGUGCCUUUCUGCACAGAAAAAAAGCAAAAGUGUUGGUAGGUUUUUAGUGAAUCGUGAAAUCGUCUAUUAAGUGAAGUGUUUUAUAUGUGCCAAAGCGCAUUGAAGUGUGUAUGUUAUGUUAUAUUAUGGUAUGAAAAAAAAGUUAAGUCUAUUUUGUAAUGAGCUUUUUGUUUAAUGCGUAGUUUUGUGUAUUUUGUGUAGAUGUGCCUUUGUUCACAGUAAAAAAAAGCAAGUGUUGGUCGUUUUCUGGUGCCAAAAUGCUAUCAAACUAUCGGUAACACACAAGCAAACUUCUAGUUCGAUGAAAACAGUUGCAGUAUUGUUGCGAUUUAGUACAAAAACUAUUCAAACGACCAAUGUUACGUCAAUGCAAAGACACACCUCCGGCUUGUAUGGAUGGAACGAUUCAAGGUAGGUACCGAAACACAAUCACAAACAAAAU